UCCUUGGUGGUCCAGUGGUUAAGACUCCGGCUUCCACUGCAGGGGGCUCAGGUUCAAUCCCUGGUCAGGGAA
rnacentral:tRNA from 1 species